rnacentral:rRNA from 1 species
UACGAAGGGGGCGAGCGUUGUUCGGAUUUACUGGGCGUAAAGGGCGCGCAGGCGGCUCAUUUUGUCAGGCGUGAAAGCCCCGGGCUUAACCUGGGAACUGCGUUUGGUACGGAUGGGCUAGAGUUCGGGAGAGGAGAGUGGAAUUCCCAGUGUAGAGGUGAAAUUCGUAGAUAUUGGGAAGAACACCGGUGGCGAAGGCGGCUCGCUGGACCGAGACUGACGCUGAGGCGCGAAAGCGUGGGGAGCAAACAGG